AACACUAUGUUUUAGUUUUCUCUUACCAGUUUUUUUUUUUUUUUAAAUAGUAAAUGUAGUAAAUGUAGAGAGACAGCAAGAGCAAGUUUGGUUUUCCCAUUUGACUCUAUCAGAUUCGGAAACAAGUUUUCCUAGGAGAAUGUAGCGAGGUAAACAGCCGUCUUGUCCCGGUAUAAUGCUCAGCAUAUUAGAAAUUGCUUUAUUUCUACCUGUUUUACAUUGGCUUCUGUUUGUUGUCAUAUCUGAUUUUUUAUACUAACAACAAUGAAUUGAUUACCAAGAGUAAAAAAUCAGUCUUUUGUUUUCAAAUGUGUUCUGAUUAAAUAAUAUUUACAACAUGAUAAUCAGAAACUUUUUUAAAACAGAAAUAAAACUUUAAAAGUCUUCUUCUGGAAACUUUUAGUAAUAUGCUGUGUACGACAACAUCAGGGUGAUUUAACAAAUAAUUCAGAGACACUCUGAGAAAUUUCUGUAAGGGUGACACAAGUGACCACCUGAAAAAUUGAUUAUAUUUGUUCAUAUCAUCUUUAGUCAAGGCUGGUUCCUAGACAGCCUUUUGGGAAUGCUAUGGCUCCCCGUUCACAAUAGGUAUCAUGCUGCCACUGCUUUCUCUCUCAUUGUCUUUUCUUUCUUGCCUCAUUCCGCCUUUGAGGACCCGUCUGUGAUGUAAUUUGGUCAGUUUUACUUCUUCCCAUUUAGUAUGACAUAAACUCAUGAUAAGUGAACCUUAGGGACAAUGUGAUAUAAUAGAUCACUGGCUUUGGAAUCUCAAGGACUAUAUUUACUCUUAGUUUUGCUAUUCUCUAGGCUAUAGGAAUUAAUCUUUAUGAAUUUCCUGAGUUUAACAUCAAUCGAGGAAUUGUGUCAAUAGACUUAUUGGUCAUGGGUUGGCAGUGUAUAGGAAACAAAUGGAAGUUGAGAAAUAGUGGAAGAAGAGUGGAGAAAAGAUGGUGGAAGGCAGAAAACUCAUUUAAUCAGAUAAUUCAGGUAACGUUAAUACAAAGAAGUCCCAAGAACUGGAGUGUUAGGGAAUCAAGAAGCAGUAGAAAUUUGCAUUUAUCCUUAGCCCUCCUAUUAAAUAGCUCUGAGUAAAUCUCUUCACCUUCCCAUGAAAGUCUUCUCUUCAACUUUUAUCUCAGGUACUGUUUCUAAAUUGCUUAAGAUGAUUUUAAUUUUCUUUUGCUUUCUUUUUCUCUUAUUUGUUUUUCAAUCCCAGCCUUUAAUACCACUAAUGUAUUAUGACUUUCCCCAGUUUAAGUAAUUAAAAUUGAGGAGUUGCCACUGUGGCUCAGAGGAAAUGAGCCUAACUAGUAAACAUGAGAUUCAAUCAGUGGGUUGAGGAUCUGGCUUUGCCACAGGUUGUGGUGUAGGUCACAGACACAGUUCAGAUCUGGUGUUGCUGUGGCUGUGGUGUAGGCCAGCAGCUGCAGCUCCGAUUUGACCCCUUGCCUGGGAACUUCCAUAUGCCGUACCUGUGGCCCUAAAAAGCAAAAUAAAUAAAUAAACAAACAAAUAAAUAAAUGUGAAACAUUGAUGAGAGAGAUAAAUAGAUGUGUGUUAAAUUCUUUUUAGUUUACAAAGUAGCGAAGAUUUCUGGAAAACCUCAAAGCUGGGUUUUUUCUUCAGGAUCACAUUGUGUUCCUUUUCUGCAGUGGUCUGUAACACACAAAGCCAAAGGAAAGUAGCAUGGGCCUGAUGCAGACACCCUCGGUGGGAUUAAAUCAGUGGGAUUUCCAACAAACUUAGACAGUGACUUGAGAGUACUAAGGAUUCCUCGCUCUGCUACUUCCAUGUAAUCUGAGACAAGUUUUUAUAAUUUUUUUUUUUUUUUACUAAUUUUUACCUGUUUCUUCAUAUGCUGUACAGUGUAUGUUUAAGGUUUUCUUUUGUUGUUAUUUUUGUUUUUGGAUAUGACUCUGCCAAUUUCAGACUUUCAGUUGUUUUACUUUCUUACUUAUGCCUCCAUGAGCACUUCUUGCUUGGCCUCCAUGGUCACCUUCACACCUGAGGUGUGAAGCCUCAGGUCCAGGACAGAUGGGCACAUAACAGCUCAGAGCAGAGAGAGAGAGACCAGUUCCUCCACUGUAUAUCAGAGCAGAAGGAAAUAGUAAACUGCUGUCUCUACCCAGCCAACUUUGUCAGGGAACACUUAGGUUUGGCUUUUUGAUAUUCCUAUGUUUCUGUGGCAUAGACUGCCAUGUAUUAGUUUGUCUUUUGAGCAGUGAGUUCCAUUCCCCUUACAGAUAGGCUGCAAACAUUUCAGCCUUGAGAUGUCCAAAACUUAAUUCAGUGUAUAUUCAAGACAACUUCUUCACACUAUAUUCUGUUUCUCAAUAGCAUCACCAUCCCGUCCCAUUCUGAAAACCCUAAUCAUUUAAAACUCUUUCCUCUUUCUUUUACCCUCCUCAUUAUCAGUCACCAAGUCUUGAUUUUAGUUGUGUGAUCUAGGCAAAUCAAUUAAAUUAUUUUAGUCAGAUCUUUGUUAUUGCAAAGAAGUCAUUGUUACUUUCUAAAAAAUGUAGGCCUAAGGAAAACAUGAAUUAGAGCAGAGCCUGCCCAAGUGUAGACAGAACCUAGAUGGCUGUCAGUCCUGGAACUGGCUUCUCUCUCUUGGCUUCACAUUCAGCUCUGCCUCAGGAUUUUCCUCUUUCUAUAUCUUUCCAGCUUUAGCCCCAGCUGGUACCUCAGUACAGCUAGCUUCAUUACCUCAAUAUUGCACACUUGAAAUUCCAGAAGGAAAAUGUGGUUCAACUAAAAAAUACCUCUUUGGCAAAACCUUUAAUGCUAUGUGCUGGCCAGCCAAUAGUUUUCUGGCUCCUAAGUCAAGUACUUGCUCCUAGCCCAGCAGUCAUGUGGUUCAGAAUGACCUCUUAGUGCUAGUCCUUUAUCAUGGGCUAUCCUUAGGUAUGUGUUUUAAUUUUUUUAAUUGGAUCUUAAUGGUUUAAUGUUACUUUUCAGUAUCUUGGAAAUGUCUUUGAGUCCAUUUUUUCCCCCACUACCAUGACUGAGACUCUCUUACUAGUUUUAACCUGUACUAAUGCAGCAUUCUUCUACUCCCUCAACCCCACAUAACUAUUUCUAGGUCACCUUAACUGCUUCUGGAGGCAGUUUCCAGUACAGAUCUAAUCUUUCUCUCUGUGUUAAAUAUCACCUUUGAGUCCCAUAUAAAGUCCAGGUUCUGUAGUUAGGCAUGCUUAGGUGCCCCAUAAUUUUGACCUAAUUUAGUUUCUGAUCUUUUCCUGCUAUUCCCAUUCAUAUACUUUUCCUGCCCUACAAUAGUUAAAAUACCAUAAAUAUAAGAACAGUUGUUGUAGCAUUGUUUAUAGUGGCAAAAAAUGAAAAUAAUAUACAUAUGUAUCAUAAGGAAAUUGUUGAAUAAAUGAUACAUCUGUAUUAUGGAAUAAUAUGCAAUGUAUUGUUUGUUUUGCUUGUUACAAGUGACAGAAACAAAAUCUGAACUUGUAUAAACCAAAAAGGAUAUCAAUUGGCACAUAUACCUAAGAAGAUCAAGAGAUGGAGUGGCUUCUUGUAUGACUCUAUGCAGAGAUUUGACCAAUGUCAUCUGGAGGACAUCUGUCUUCCCUGUCUCUGGACUCUACUUUCUUUGUGGUGAUUUUACUCCAGGCAGCUCUUCCUAAGCUAUAACAAGUGAUGGUUUAUAUUCUUCCAGUUUAACAGCUCAGUGGAAAAACACCUCUUUCCCAGUAGUUACAGCAAAAGUGCUGGUCUUACUGGCCUGAAUCAUGUGCCAAUUCUGAGGCAAUUGCUAUGGCAAGGGGGAUGGAAAUUCUUAGUUGUUUAAGCCUGUGUCAUGUGCCCAUCCCUGGAGCUCAGUGGGGAAGCCAGCCCUACUUGACCUGCAUGAACCGAAGAGGGGUAGGCAUACGGAUGGGGUUCCCAAAAAGAAGUUGGAUUUCUGAUAUCAGAAUGAGGAAAAUUGAUUCUGAGAGGGUGAAAGUAGCAGCAGUCCUCUAAUGCAGCUUUAAAAAGAUCCAGAAGGAUGACUCAACACUUAGCAUGCAAGGUGCAGAGGAAUAUGGGUGUGUUUGUACACAUGCGUAUAAUACGUAUGGACUGGGAAGUGUGUGAAAGUAUACAUACUAAAUGCUUCCCAUUGCUCAUCUCAGGGGAGAAUGGUUGGAGUAGGAAGAGGGCCAAUUACAGUAUUGCUGUUAUAUAUCUCUAUUGUUUGACUUGCUGCUAGGAACACAUAUUAUUUUUGUAAGGACAAUUAAAAAUAUAAGACCUAAAAGUACAUUGAAAAGUUUUCUUCUUAGGAAUGUCGUGGUACAUACCUGGCAAUUGCUUUUUGGGUAGUUGCAGUAAUAAUGAUAAUAGCUAACAUUUACUGAGUGCUUUCUCUGCAUUAGGCAAACUGUGUGUAUUAUAUAUUUUUUCAUUUAACUCUUAAAAUAACCUGCUGAGGUAUUUUUAUUACCAGUGAUUAACUUUAUAUAAACUAAAAUUUAGAGAAAGUGUUAGUUAUUUGCAAAUCCAUCUAUCAGAAUGACCUGGAAAAUUAAAACAAACAAACAAACAAACAUAUAUGUCCCCAUGGCCCUACCUGGGCUGCCAAAUGAGCAUCUCAGGGUAGACCCUAGUCUGGGUAUCUCGAAGGCACCCCAGGUUGCUUCAUCUGUACUCAGUUUAUUACUGGUUUGUUUGGGAGUCUCACUGGGUCAUGUGUUUAACUCAUGUUACUCAACUAGUACGAAUCAGAGUUGGGUUUCAAACCUUAACAACUGCACUGUUAAUAACAUGGUUAUUAUCACUGUUAAAAUUGUAUACAAGGUUUAGGUUAAGUCAGUCUUUGUAGACCAGCAUGGAAAUCUCACCAGUCAUUAUGAGACACAUUUCUGUAGGUGAGGGUUCUGAAUUCUAAGCAUCAGAUUUACAAAUGACUUUGAAAUAAAAGACAAAGCUUUAUUCAAAGUAAGAUCAUUUUGUCAUUGGGGGUAUUCUGCCUUUCAAAGGUUAGCAGAAUUGGAACAUUUUUUUACUGUAAGAACAUAUUACUAUUACAUAUGCAUGGAAUAUGGUGACACAGAUAGGUGUAUUGUUUUGCAGAGCACUGUAGUUUCUCCUUUUGUCUAUUUAAUAAAAAACAACACACUUCCCCAUCCCUAGUCCCUGUCCCCAUCCUUAGUCCCUAGUCCUGUCCCCAUCCUUAGUCCCUAGUCCCUGUCCCCAUCCUUCUCUCUCACACACACACUCACAGAGGCAUCCUUUGGUUAAACAUCACCAACAUAAUUUUCUCUUACAUCUUUAAUGUAAAAUUCUGAAUUUCAGUUCAAUUUUGCAAACACAUAAAAGCCAAACAUGGUAUUUUGCCUUUUUAAGCAUUUAUAAGGAAGGAAGCCAUCAUAUUAAGGUAAUAAUUAAGCUUAUACAAUUAAAAUUUGCAAACAAUCAAAUUAAGCUAGGAUAAUGACAGUUUCUUCAGAAGUAAAUUGAAAUAAAUUUGGUUUUCCUAGUGUACUUGUUGUCAUAAUGAACUGAGAUAGCCAUGCAGACCGUCCAAGUCCACUUCAGCCUGAGUGCACACAAAACAGCAAAAAUACUACAUAGGAAAGAAAGUGAAUGUUGUCUAUUGGAUUCAGUAUGGUGCCACCACUUUACGUGUUCAUGGUUGUGGCUCUCUUUGGGCUUACUUCUGUUUUCAGAGUUGUCUCAGGAUUUGAAGUCGUCUUGGGAUCCGAGGUUCUUUGGAGCUUUUGAACUGUAUUCACAUUUGGGGUUGUCUCAGAAAUCAGGCUGGUCAGCUCGAGGCUGUCGUAGAAUUUGUGGUUGUCUGUGUUAGAGGUUUCCCCAAAAUUAUCAACAAACAGGAGGAACAGACUGAGUAGUAAUAGCUUUAACAUUAUUUUCCUGUUUGGAAAUAAUGAUAGAAGAUUAAUCUAACACUUGGAUCACAGACAAAUCUAAAAACUAGCAUUUUUAAAAAAGUGGUGAGGCCAUUUGAAGAAAUAUGGAUGAACCUAGAGAUUAUCACGCUAAGUGAAGUAAGUCAAGCAGAGAAAGGCAGAUAUAUGAUAUCACUUAUAUGUGGAAUCUAAAAAAAAUGGAUACAAAUGAACUUAUUUGCAGAACAGAAACAGACUCACAGACUUUGAAAACAGACUUACAGUUACCAAAGGGACAGAUGGCGGGGAGAGAUGGACUGGAGAUUUGGAAUUGGCAUAUGCACACUGCGGUACAUGGAAUGACUGGCCAAUGGGGACCUGCUGUAUAGCGCGGAAAACUCUACCCAGUACUCAGAGAUGAUUUAUAUGGAAAAAGAAUCUGAAAAAGAAUGGAUGUGUGUACAUGUGUAAUUGAAUCACUUUGUUGUGCAGCGGAAUUUAUCACAGCAUUGUAAAUCAACUAUUCCUCAAUGAAACUUUAAAAAGUGAAAAAAAAAAAAUGGUGGAUGAGGUGAUGAAGGAAACCUUAGCUCUGGUGAAAGGCCAGCCUUGGUUUAAGAAAUUUCAUAGCUUUUAAGAUAAAAGGAAAUUCAGAAGUGAUCAAUACCAACUCCAUUUUAUAGAUGGACUCUGACAAAGGGCAUUACUUGCCUGAGGAUGCACAUCUAAGAAGGACCAGAACUAGAACUUGAGUCUGAGUCUUAGUUUUUUAGUAGAUGGGGACUGCAAAGGCAUAGUAUAGACAUAGUGUAGACUAGUAAACCAUUUUUAAAGUAAGGCUAACUUUUUUUAUCUUAUAUUCAAAUUUAAUGGUUUGCCACAUUUGAGAUAUAGCAGAUAGCCCAUGUUGAGCAUCGUUAACUAUUCUUUUUUUUUACCUUAAAGCUCAAACUUUAAUUUUAUAAAUCUGAUAUGCUAACAUUUACAUUUGGUUCUAAUAUAUAAUUGAGAAAAUUUUAAAUUAAUAUUACCUUUUGAUGUUUUUUCUUUAAGACUUGAGGUUUUCUCCAGUGUCCUAUGGGGAAUCUAAUUUCUUAUUCACUAUGUGCUGUUUAAAUAAACUUAGUAAGUCACGUGUUAUAAACUUGACCUCCUGUUUGCUCUUUGGAAAUAACCUGUUGAAUGCUUUCCAAAUUGGUGCAAACAGAUGGACUAUGGCAGAGAUCAAGAAAUUCAAAUGAAGUAUUUCUAUAAUCCAGUCACUUAUUUAAGGAACCCUAUGAAUACCACUUUGUGAUUCCUCUUAUCAAUGUAUAUAUUAGCCUUCACUGGAUUGACUUUUAACUGGAGAGGAAUUUGCCUAUUGUGAUUAUUAUGACUUAAAAUCAGGUGAGAAAAAUAUAUCUAUUAGAAAUAGAAAUCUGUCUUUUUCUUAAAAGCUUCUUGUGUGUAUGUUUACAAGGUAGUGUUUGACCAUGAUUAUUUUGAAGUUUUAAAAAUAAUUCAGGGAGUUCCCAUCAUGGCAUGUGGAAACAAAUCUGACUAGGAACCAUAAGGUUGCGGGUUUAAUCCCUGGCCUCGCUCAGUGGUUAAGGAUCAGGCAUUUCUGUGAGCUGUGGUGUAGGUUGCAGAUGCUGCUCGGAUCUGGCAUUGAUGUGGCUGUGGCGUAGGCCGGCAGCUACAGCUCCAAUUAGACCCCUAGCCUAGAAACUUCCAUAUGUCACGGGUGCAUCCCUAAAAAGACAAAAGACAAAAAAAAAAAAGUUCUAUGGGCUUAAUCUCUAGAAUAUACAAGCAACUUAUACAACUCAACAGCAAAAAAGCCAACAACCCAAUGGAAAAAUGGACAAAGGACCUGAAUAGACAUUUCUCCAAGGAAGAUAUACAGAUGUCCAAGAAGCACAUGAAAAAAUGCUCAACAGCACUGAUUAUUAUAGAAAUGCAAAUCAAAACUACCAUGAGAUACCAUCUCACACUAUUCAGAAUGGCCCUCUUUAAUAAGUCCACAAAUAACAAGUGCUGGAGGGGAUGUGGAGAAAAGGGAACCCUCCUGCACUGUUGGUGGGAAUGUAAGCUGGUACAGCCACUAUGGAGAACAGUACGGAGGUAUCUUAGAAAUCUAUACAUAGAAGUACCAUAUGACCCAGCAAUCCCACUCUUGGGCGUAUAUCUGGACAAAACUUUCCUUAAAAAAGACACAUACACCUGCAUGUUCAUGGCAGCUCUAUUCAGCAAUAGCCAAACGCUGGAAACAACCCAAAUGUCCAUCGACAUAUGAUUGGAUUAGGAAGAUGUGGUAUAUAUACACAAUGGAAUACUACUCAGCCAUAAAAAAGAAUAAAAUAAUGCCAUUUGCAGCAACAUGGAUGGAACUAGAGACUCAUACUGAGUGAAAUAAGUCAGAAAAAGACAAAUACCAUAUGAUAUCACUCAUAUCUGGUAUCUGAUAUACAGCACAAAUGAACCUUUCCACAGAAAAGAAAAUCACAGACUUGGAGAAUAGACUUGUGGUUGCCCAGGGGGAGGGGGAGGGAGUAGGAGGGAUUGGGAGCUUGGGGUCAGUGGAUGCAAACUAUUGCUCUUGGAAUGGAUUUACAAUGAGAUUCUACUAUGUAGCACUGAGAGCUAUGUCUAGAUACUUACAACGCAGCACAACAAAAAUAUAAAAAUAAUUCAGGAAUAUAGCAUUCCAGGAAUUUAAUUUCUAGUAUAUAACGAAAGAGUAAUUAUUCUAUUAGAAAGGGAGUUAAGCUUUAUUAAUAUAAAACUAAUUAAGAAUUAUAUGUGAAAGUGAUACUUUUCAUAUUGAGUUGACAAAGUUUUUUUAGUACAUUGAACCACCCACUUUGAAGUACAUUAAAUAAAUUCUUUAAAUUUCAUCUUUUGAUCACUCCUUUUCCUUGGUAAAUGGCAUACAGGGAAGUUAGUUUCUAUUGUGCUAAUGUUUUCAUCACAUUAGUCAGCCUUCUUUAAGAAUUGCAGGGCUGUGAACAGUUGUGUUGACAUACAAGGAAGUUGCUACAUAAAUGGCAGAAGUACAAGUCAGUACAUGUUUUCUGACUUGUUUUAUUUUGUGUGGGUUUUCCUUCCUCCUAAAUUUAUAGAACCAGUGCUUGCUAAAUCUUAUUUAUAUGGUACUUACAAUAUUGAACAUUACUUAACUGGAGCUUAGUGUGAUCUGACCUAAGAAGUAAACAUAAAAAAAGCCUCUUAGCAACCAGAGUAGAUAUUAUGAAUCAGAGUACUAAGAUAAUGCACAGACAAAUUUUUAUUGAUGCAUCAAACACUUCAAUCUCAACAUAUUUAAAAUUUUAAAUUCAACAUUUUUCCCUUCCUAUUCUUUUAUCCAGAUACAUUUUUCUCAAUCCAUUUCUCAGUUAACUGCAUCAUUGCCUAGCCAGUUGGCUCACCAAUGUUGAAUUUCUUAUUUCCUUAUUGAUCUUAAGCUGCCCAGGCCUCUUGAUGAUGAUUAAGUAAAAUUUAAAAUUCUGAACUCUCCAGCAUUUAAAUGCUCUCCCCCCCACCAAAAAAAAAAAAAAAAAAUCACUUGCCAUUACUUAGGCCUUUAAAUGCCUUCCACUUCUUGAUCAUUGUGCAGCCUCCCCA